rnacentral:misc_RNA from 1 species
GAUGAAGAACGUAGCGAAAUGCGAUACUUGGUGUGAAUUGCAGAAUCCUGUGAACCAUCGAGUCUUUGAACGCAAGUUGCGCCUCAAGCCAUUAGGUUGAGGGCACGUCUGCCUGGGCGUCACAUAUCGUUGCCUGAUGCCAGUUUCCUCGUGAUGGGUGACUGUGCAGGGCGAAUGAUGGCUUCCCGUGAGCAUUGUUGCCUCAUGGUUGGUUGAAAAUUGAGUCCUUGGUAGGGAGCGCCGUGAUAGAUGGUGGUUGAGUGACGAACGAGACCCAAUCAUGUGAGACCCCUACCGAAUUUGGCCUUCAUGACCCACAUGCGUCUUUGGAACGCUCAUGACGAGACCUCAGGUCAGGCGGGGCUACCCGCUGAGUUUAAGCAUAUCAUAAGCGGAGGA